UUUAUUGGAGAGUUUGAUCCUGGCUCAGGAUGAACGCUGGCGGCGUGCCUAAUACAUGCAAGUCGAGCGAAUGGAUUAAGAGCUUGCUCUUAUGAAGUUAGCGGCGGACGGGUGAGUAACACGUGGGUAACCUACCCAUAAGACUGGGAUAACUCCGGGAAACCGGGGCUAAUACCGGAUAAUAUUUUGAACUGCAUAGUUCGAAAUUGAAAGGCGGCUUCGGCUGUCACUUAUGGAUGGACCCGCGUCGCAUUAGCUAGUUGGUGAGGUAACGGCUCACCAAGGCGACGAUGCGUAGCCGACCUGAGAGGGUGAUCGGCCACACUGGGACUGAGACACGGCCCAGACUCCUACGGGAGGCAGCAGUAGGGAAUCUUCCGCAAUGGACGAAAGUCUGACGGAGCAACGC
rnacentral:rRNA from 1 species